AUGCUCAGAGUGGCGCACUUAGUCUGGGUUUGCUGCUCCCGACAACAAACUGGCAAGGACGUCGAGGCCACCACGGCGGGCCUCUGGGAGCUUGUGGUCAGAGUGCAACAGCUUUUCUCGCAAAGCCCCGAAGGGUCUGGUCUGGACUGGAGCCCCGCCGCCCUGCAGGCCCUGCUUCAGGCGUGGGCCAGGGCAUCUGAAGGCCUACUGGCCUGUUUUGACGACGUUCUCAAUAUUCCUGAGUUCCUGGGUGUGUCCAUUCAGGAAAUGACCAAGCACUUGGACUUCUUUACAUGGGCUUUGAGGAGCAGAGAUUCUAGAGAGUUUUCUCGACUCGUGGCAUAUUUACAGGGCCGGGCCACGCACAUAGUGCAGGUGAUGAGCAGGUAUGUGGACCAAGAUCGAGAUCCCAUUUUCCGGAAUGGCCUGAGAGUCUUGAUUCGGCAGCUGGAGGAAUCUUCCCUGGUCCUGGGUGCAGCUGCUGAGCGCUGUUCAGGUGGGCACAGCUCUCAGGACACAGAUGCGUUUUUAACCAUGGCAAAGCAUCUGAUCUGCUCAGCUCAGAGCAUCCGAGAGGGUCUGGAUGGGACUAACCACCCAGAUAUCCUCAGCCCCCUUCGACACCAAGUCCAAAGGUUUGAUAUUGCUAAGAGACAGCCUUAUUUUAUUCUCCCCAGCCUUCAGGACUCCAUAGUUUCUGAACUGAAACACCAAAGGGGCUCUGGGUUAGGGAAAAGUGAUCUAGGCACCUCCUAUCCGCCCAGGGACCAUCUUUCCAGUCCCUGGAUUCCUGGCACCCGUCCACAGAGGGGGGGCUCUCCACUUCCUGCCAUCAGCAAACUUGUCCUUGCUGUAGAGAGCCAGGCAGUGACUUCAGCUUGCACCAGCCUGCAGGAUCAGGAUGCAGCUGUGGAUGCAGCUCAAGAGGCCUUGGCUAGGGAGGGACCACUGGGGUCGAAGAGGAUGACUGGACUCGAAGAAAUCUCAACACUGGUACCUUCUGCUAGUGACUUAGCAGGGGAGAUGGCACAUUGUACAGCUGCUGGAACUGAUAGGCUUGUGGAAGGGGCUCUGCAACUGUCUGGGAGAUCUAGGGAAACCAGGCAGGGUUUAGUAGCCAUGGCUGGUGACUGGUACCCUCUGUGUCAACAGCUAUUUUGCAAUGACCCAGCAGCUGAUCUUCGAGAAAACAUCGCAGUGUUUGUGGAGCUUCAGCAGAAUUUAGCCUCAGUGGUUCAACUAGCAGCAAAAAGUGGGCCCAUGGAUUUGGGUAAAAAGGAUUCUGACUCAACUGGGCAUCCAGAAGCACUUUUACAAAUGCAAGGCAGACUGCAGGAGACAGAGACCCAUGCUAAACAGCUGUUGGACAAGAUUCUGGCCUCUGAAGGCCUCCAAGACCUCAAGUCAUGGGAGGAGAGCAUUGAGGAUGGGUGCCUUCUGUGGUCAGUGACUGUCCAAGACCUGCUCCAGUGCAUGGAGAGGCUCAGCAGGAGACAAGGCCUGUUCUUGUUCCUGCGACAAGCUGUGAAUGACCAGCAAGGGCUGCAGGAAGGGCUGGCUCAGGCAGCAGAUGUUUCUCGGAGGCUACAAGAGGCUGCCAGGCUGUCUUCCCUACUGUGUGGGGAGGAGAAAGUAAAGGGUGAAAUCUCCUUUCUGUGCAGGGAAGUUCAUGUGCUCACAGAAGCUCUGCUGGAUGUGGCACAGAUCCUGGCCUCCUCCCCCAAACCAUCACCCAGCCUGUCCACACGCUUUGAACUUCUCUACUUGGAGCUCACCCUUCGAGCCAAGGCCGUGACUGGCCAUCUCAGCAGCAUCAAUGCAGACUAUGAACAUGCCCUCCAAGCUGCCUUCUGCCCAAGGCUUUCUGUCUACAGAGACCCCCAGACCAGGCCAGAAAGCUCCCUGGAAAGAAUGGUGUCUGGUAUCCAAGCUGUGCAAGAAAUCGUGGCAGGAGGUCAGGAGUCUGGGCCCUGCCAGGAGAGUCUCCUUGUGGCUCUGGAGAGCAUUCUUGUCCUCACCAAGGAGGUAGCCCAGAGGGUCCCUGUGGUCCGAGAACACCCAGAGGAGUGGGGAAUGCACAUCCUGGACUGGCUUCAGUGGGAGUGGGCAGCUAAGGCCCACCAUGCUGUGACCCAGCUCCAGGCUUGGAAAGGUGGUCACACCAAGGCCUGGAGACUCCUGGCCCAGUGCUUGAAGCCCAGUAGUGAGACAGCAGUGAUGAAGCCCAGUGAUGAACAGGACCCUGCCCAGCGCCAGCUCCACCAUGCGGAGGGUGCAUCAGGAAUGGCUGCAGCGGGCAGUAUGGAUUCUCAGGGUGCUGCCCCAAGAGACACCCCAGGGAGCUCAGUGGGGACCUGCACUGCUGAUCCAGGCAUCGCUGGGACAAUCACAGCAGACCUGGGCACGGUGAGAUAG
rnacentral:lncRNA from 1 species